UUCUCUUAAGGCAGUGGAGAUAUAGUCUUCAUAUAGCUAUCCCUCAGAGUACCUUGCACAAAACUUCACAUGGAGACUCUGCUACUCUGGAAGGAAAAGAAUGAAAUUCUGCCUCUAGAAGUGAUAAUCUCUAUUUAAUCCUCUGUGGUUUGACAGUUGGAUACAUUUUAGAUGAAGCAAUAGAAAACUGGAUAUAAAAGGAAAAGUUUUUCCUUGCAAGGUAUUAAAACCAUUCUUAAGACUCAAUUGGCUCAAGAAUCUGAAGAUUUAUGCUACUUACAUACUUACAGCACUUCCUAAUUGCCUGAGUACAAACUAGCCACCCAGAUAUCCCCUUACUCUCUGAUGCUGACAAACCAUGGGCAACUAAGAGGCAGGGAGCCUCUCUCAGGACUAACUCUGCCAAGUACAUAAAGGCUCAUCACCAGGAGGUUGGCCAUUUGAGUAAGAAUUCUUUGGCCAUGGAAAACCACCAAAAAACACAUAUACAAAUAAAUAAAUUGUCAUUGGAAGGGAAGAGAACAUUAACCACUGGGAGAUCUGAAAAAUGAGGUUUCCUAAGAUAUGACACCUCAGGUAAGCAUUGGAGGAAAGUGGAGAUUUUAAGAGGUGGAGGUAAGGAGAGAGUGAAUACAUUCUCAGCGUGAGAAAACAUUUUUUUUUAUCAAUCAGUUAACUUAAUGAAUACUGAUUAAGGGCCCAAUAUAAUGGUCACUGCUAAACACUAGAAAUACAAACAUAAAAGUGAACUAGUUUUUACCUUCAAGAAGCUUUGAGGAAAUAAAAACUUCACAGAUAAAUAGAGCAUUAUACAAAAUAAAUACAAAGUGAUUUGGGGAGUGGGUAACAGAAAA